UGACUAGCUAAUGUCAAUACAUCACCUUAAGCCUAACAAGUAGUCUGUAGGCUACCGAUGUUGUUGUCUAUGUUCAGGUACAUACUUUCCUUUUGCUCCCCAAAAAG